AAGGGAGACCUAAUUCAGGUAGGAGACGAAAAAAAAGUAGUCCCUACCAAGAAUCAAUCCCAAAAGGUCGGAGCGAGGCAAAAUUGGCUUUCAAACUAGGUUCUGGGUUCACACAAGACCUGAAUCAGGAACAAGGGCUAUUAGCUCAGGUGGUUAGAGCGCACCCCUGAUAAGGGUGAGGUCCCUGGUUCGAGUCCAGGAUGGCCCACCUGUACAGGUGGCAAAAACAAAGAAAAGAAGCGAGGAAUCGGCACCUUAUCUUACUUAUAUAGUAAGAGAGAAUGCUGGCUCUGAGUAAAGAGUCCAGAGGAACCUUGAAAACUGCAUAGAGCUAGGUGAAAAAGCCAAAAAAGAAGACCGCAA
rnacentral:tRNA from 1 species